UCCCUGGUCUAGUGGUUAAGACCCUGUGCUCCCAAUUCAGGGAGCCCAGGUUCAGUCCCUGGUCAGGGAG
rnacentral:tRNA from 1 species